rnacentral:rRNA from 1 species
AGUAACGCGUGAGGAACCUGCCUCAAAGAGGGGGACAACAGUUGGAAACGACUGCUAAUACCGCAUAAGCCCACAGCUCGGCAUCGAGCAGAGGGAAAAGGAGUGAUCCGCUUUGAGAUGGCCUCGCGUCCGAUUAGCUAGUUGGUGAGGUAAUGGCCCACCAAGGCGACGAUCGGUAGCCGGACUGAGGGGUUGAACGGCCACAUUGGGACUGAGACACGGCCCAG